UUUAUACCUUGCCAGGAAACAACCACGCAUUAAUACUGCAAUUAAAUAGCAAAAUGGGUAAUGCAGGAGAUUAUGGGCAGCUAGCUUGGAUGUUCCCACUGGCCUUCUGAGCGUCUCUUCCCAUGGACUGCAGAGGAAAUUUGGACUUCUAAACUCAUAUGUCCUGAAUUGCACCUAAGAAUAGGAGAGCACGUGGAGCAGUCACUACUGAUAGUGGAUAGCUCAUGACAUCUUACCGUCAUGAAGGAAAAAGAAAUGGGAACUAGGAAGCAGAAGAACUUCUGACUGUUUUACCAAUGAACUGGAUUUGGAGUGGUGGAGAAAAGCUGUUUGUGUGGUGCUGAGCAAUCAGCAGGAUCUGCUCUGGUGACCUUGCAGUACAGUCUCUACACCCUCAGAACAAACGCAACAAGGGAAGAAGAUGCACAGAGCGUCAGGGUGUCACAGCAGUAAUUUCCCUGAGAGCAAAUCCUUUGACUGCUUCUACUGCACGUCCCAAUAACAUGCACGCUGCUCUUAUCCUCAGAUGCUGGGUGUUUCCUCAAGAAUGAUAUUUACCAUGCUGUUUGUAGCAGGCAGCAGUGCUUAAAAAAAGAAUUCUGGAAAAAUCACUGUGUAAAGCAAGGAACGUUUUUCUGUGUGUCCCCUGCUACGUCCUGCUGUGGUUGCUGAGCAUUUAAGCUAAAUCUGUCAAGUCUAAAAAAACAUGGAAUGCUGAUGAGAAAUCAACUCUUACAAUUUGAAUAUUCUGGAUAAGAUUAAUAACUGUAGAAAACUAAGACAUAAAAACGGGGCCCUUAACCUUAACUGAAACACCAGGAUGCAGCACAGAACAGCUGUUGUAACUAUAUUUCUCAGGUUAAGCCUGGUACUGCUUUCUGAAUGGUCAAUUCAGAUAUCUGUGUGGAUGCAAAUGGCGCUGUAUGGUUAUUGAAUUAAGUACAAGCACAGCCAUCAGGAGUUUGCAGCCCUUUUUUAAUAGUGAACCCUCCGUGAAGAUUAUAAUUGAUUAGUUACAUUCAUGGAUCACCCAGGCACUAUAGUAUCCCUCAAAGCUAGUCUCUGUUUGCAAAGUGCAAACCCACAGUAUACUGGCACAAGACACUUUCCCUCGAAACCAACCCCAGGUUGGCUUGAAAACCUCCACCAAGGAAACCUCCUCUCCCACUCUCUCCUCUGGGGCUGUCUGGGGAAAGCUCCAGUUGAAUGUUUUCUGAAGGCAGCUUCACAAGGAAAGGUGGGAGGUCCCAUGAAGGGGAAAUCCCACCAGGAGCUGGGACUGCUGCCCCAAACAUACCAACACUCUGCUCUCAUCCUGUAGGACACACAGCACUGGGUGUCCUGGCAUCUACCCUAUUGCCACACAGCAGUGAUCUGAGCAGCAAGACCUAAUUACAAAUAACUAGAUGUUUCUAAAGGGUAGCAAGAGAAUAGAAUAUAAGAAAAACCACCUCGACCAUGAAUGUUUUCCAGUGAUGUGGAAAAUGAUUGCAAAGUGUAAAGUCCAUUUUGAGCUCUUCAUUGAGAUAGAUAAAAUAUUACUGCUGCAUGUAAGUUAUUACUACGUUGCAUUUGAAAUGGCUUUAUAAUUUCCUGUCUAUUGCAACCUUAGGUCUCUGCUAUAUUGCUGCUUUCCAGCUACCUUUUCUUACUUUUUCUUCAAUAUAUAUGUUUUGAAUUCUUUCGUCUGUAUCAGCCCAUGGUUCUCCAGAUUGAAUCUUAUUUUGUUAUUUCAUGUCCUCAUUUCUACAGUUAGGAAUUUAUUGCUUUGUAAAGAUGAAAACUAUAUAUAUAUAUAUAUAUAUAUAUAUAUAUAUAUGUAAACAUCACAUAAGGAUAUUUAUGUCGUGUUUGUAUUUAUGUCUGUCCCAAAUAUAUAUAUCUUUGCAUUUAUAAUAUGUCCCAAAUUCAUUGUCAUGCACAUAGAUAAAAAAAAAAAAAAGAGACUAUAUAAUCAUAUAAAAUCUUAUAGAUCAUAUAAAGGCUUUACCUUUGAAUUACUACCAUGCCCAUGCCAAUAAGGAUUGGGUAAAAUCCAGCUCUGCUAGACCAUCAAAUGGCUUUCUAUAAUAGAGUGACAACUUCUGUGGACAAAGGCACAGUAACUGAUGUUUUCUACCUGGACUUGUCAAGGCCUUUGAUAUGGUCCUGCACCAUAUCCUUAUCUUUAAGUCAGAGAGAUAUGGGACUUGAAGGUUGGACAGUUCAUUGGAUAAAUAAUUGGUUGGACGGCCACAGCCAGAGGAGUGGUCAGUGGCUCUAUGUCCAGGUGGAGGCUGGUUGUAAGUGGUGUCCCCAGGGAUCUAUCUUGGCACCGAUGUUCUUCAACAUCUUUAUCAAUGACAUAGACAGUAAGAACAAGUGUACCCUCAGCAAGUUUGCUGAUGACACCACGCAGAUGCAGCUGACACAACAGAAGGAAGGGAUGCCAUCCACCUGGACAGGCUUGAAAAGUGAGCCCAUUAGAACCUAAUGAGUUUCAACAAGGCCAAGUGCAAGGUGCUGCAAUUAGACUGGGGCAACCCCAGAUAUGUGUACAGACUGCGAAAACUCAUUGCAAGCAGCCCUGCUGAGAAGGACUUGGGGGUCCUGAUGAACAAAGGCUGGACAUGAACAAGAAGUGUGGACUUACAGCCCAGAAAGCCAACUGUAUCCUGAGCUUCAUCAAAAGAGGGUUGGCCAGAAGAGUGAAGGAGGUGAUUGUCCCCAUCUACUCUGCCCUUUUCAAGACCCCAUUUGGAAUACUGCAUCCAGGGCUUGGGACUCCUGUACAAGAAAGAUGUGGAGCUUUUGGAGUGGGUCCAGAGGAGGCCACAAAGACACUGAAAGGGCCAGGGUACUUCUCUUAUGAAGAAAGGUUGCAGGAGCUGGGCUUAUUCAGCUUGGAGAAGGCUCUGGCAAUGCUGCACCUGUAUUCAGACUUUUGAUGAAGUUGCACACAACCAAUCACAGAAACUUAGAAUAUCCUGAGUUUGAAAGGUCCCAUGAGGCUCAUCAAUUCCAGAUCCGGGCUCCACACAGAAUAACCAAAAAAUCAAACCUUGUAUCUGAGAGCAUCAUCGAAAUACUUCUUGAAAUCCAGCAGCUUGAAGCUGUGACCACUGCCCUGGGCAGCCUGUUGCAGUGCCCAACCACCCUCUGGUGAAGAACUUUUCCUGACCCCCAGCUGUCCCUCCCCUGACACAGCUCCAUGCCGUUCCCUCGGGCCCUGUUGCUGUCACACAGAGCAGAGCUCAGCGCUGCCCCUCCACUCCCUGUGAGGAGCUGCAGCCGCCAUGAGGCCUCCCCUCAGCUCCUCUGCUCUGGGCUGAGCAAACCCAGGGGCCUCAGCCGCUCCUCGUACAUCUUGCCUUCUAGACCACUCACUAUCUUUGUAGCCCUCCAUUGGAUGCUCUCUAAUAGUUCUGUAUCCUUCUCAUAUUGAUGCACCCAAACAGCACCCAGUGCAGGAGGUGAGGCUGCACAGCACAGAGCAGAGGGGACAACCCCUCCCCUCGCCCCGUGGCUGUGCUGGGCCUGGUGCACCACAGGGUGCAGUUGGCCCUUUGGGCUGUCAGGGCACACUGCCUGCUCAUGUUUAACUUGCUGUCAAGCAGAAUCCCCAGAACAAACCAAACAUGAUAACAACUCCUCUGGAGACCUCUUCAUGGCUUGGCACUUUGGACAUUAUUUAUCAUCAUCCUGUGCUCCUCUCCUUCAGUCCUUUUCCAAUCUGAGUUGCACUGCUUAUCCCAACAGUAAUUUAAAGUAGUCUUCCAUUUAUCUCAUGGUGUCUGAGGGUACUGUUAAUGAAGAAGUAACUAAUAAAGUGUAGGAAAAAGUCCCCAGAAAUAAGAUUUUUGCUUGUUUUUUUCUCCAGGGUGUUUUUUCACUUUGUUGUUUUAAAAUAGGAUAACAUUAAAAGUUAUAAUUUUUAUAGAGCUUUCAAAAUCUAUUGACACUCAUUUUAGAAAAGCUUAGUUGUUGAUUUUAAAAUUCAAUAAAAACCAUAGCCAGCAUUCCUAACAUGGGUGCCAACUGCAGACAGAGGGGUAAUUAGUAUUUAAAUACAGAAAUGCAAUUAAAACUCUUCAGGGGUUAUUAAACUGGCUUUCACACUCUCCUGUCUGUGCAGGAGAUGACUUGAGCUGUACAGUGAAUUGCUUUCACACCUGUUUCUUGGCCAUUUUAUUUAACUGGGAGUGGGAUGGGUUUAUUUGCCUUUCUUGCGUUUCUGUUUGCUUUGUUUUAGUCAAUCCAGCAACUUGCUGUGUAUUCAUUCUUUUUCAAAGCCACAGGUUUCCUAAUGAAGUAUGGUAAUUUAAUAGCAUCAGAAAGAAAAAGAUGUUCUAGAAUCUCUGCCAGGCUGUCUUGGGAAUCACAGCAACCUCUUAAUAAGCUUCAGUUUUCUCUUACUAAACUAAAAUAGGACUUGGC
ensembl:lncRNA